rnacentral:rRNA from 1 species
CCUACGGGAGGCAGCAGUGGGGAAUUUUGGACAAUGGGCGAAAGCCUGAUCCAGCAAUGCCGCGUGAGUGAAGAAGGCCUUCGGGUUGUAAAGCUCUUUUGUCAGGGAAGAAACGGUGAGAGCUAAUAUCUCUUGCUAAUGACGGUACCUGAAGAAUAAGCACCGGCUAACUACGUGCCAGCAGCCGCGGUAAUACGUAGGGUGCAAGCGUUAAUCGGAAUUACUGGGCGUAAAGCGUGCGCAGGCGGUUUUGUAAGUCUGAUGUGAAAUCCCCGGGCUCAACCUGGGAAUUGCAUUGGAGACUGCAAGGCUAGAAUCUGGCAGAGGGGGGUAGAAUUCCACGUGUAGCAGUGAAAUGCGUAGAUAUGUGGAGGAACACCGAUGGCGAAGGCAGCCCCCUGGGUCAAGAUUGACGCUCAUGCACGAAAGCGUGGGGAGCAAACAGGAUUAGAUACCCUGGUAGUCCACGCCCUAAACGAUGUCUACUAGUUGUCGGGUCUUAAUUGACUUGGUAACGCAGCUAACGCGUGAAGUAGACCGCCUGGGGAGUCGGUCGCAAGAUUAAAACUCAAAUGAAUUGACGG